rnacentral:rRNA from 1 species
AUUGAACGCUGGUGGCAUGCCUUACACAUGCAAGUCGAACGGCAGCAUGAUCUAGCUUGCUAGAUUGAUGGCGAGUGGCGAACGGGUGAGUAAUACAUCGGAACGUGCCCUGUAGUGGGGGAUAACUAGUCGAAAGAUUAGCUAAUACCGCAUACGACCUGAGGGUGAAAGUGGGGGACCGCAAGGCCUCAUGCUAUAGGAGCGGCCGAUGUCUGAUUAGCUAGUUGGUGAGGUAAAGGCUCACCAAGGCGACGAUCAGUAGCUGGUCUGAGAGGACGAUCAGCCACACUGGGACUGAGACACGGCCCAGACUCCUACGGGAGGCAGCAGUGGGGAAUUUUGGACAAUGGGCGAAAGCCUGAUCCAGCAAUGCCGCGUGUGUGAAGAAGGCCUUCGGGUUGUAAAGCACUUUUGUCCGGAAAGAAAUGGCUCUGGUUAAUACCUGGGGUCGAUGACGGUACCGGAAGAAUAAGGACCGGCUAACUACGUG